CAGUCAGAGGCGAUGAAGGACGUGCUAAUCUGCGAUAAGCGUCGGUAAGGUGAUAUGAACCGUUAUAACCGGCGAUUUCCGAAUGGGGAAACCCAGUGUGUUUCGACACACUAUCAUUAACUGAAUCCAUAGGUUAAUGAGGCGAACCGGGGGAACUGAAACAUCUAAGUACCCCGAGGAAAAGAAAUCAACCGAGAUUCCCCCAGUAGCGGCGAGCGAACGGGGAGCAGCCCAGAGCCUGAAUCAGUGUGUGUGUUAGUGGAAGCGUCUGGAAAGGCGCGCGAUACAGGGUGACAGCCCCGUACACAAAAAUGCACAUGCUGUGAGCUCGAUGAGUAGGGCGGGACACGUGGUAUCCUGUCUGAAUAUGGGGGGACCAUCCUCCAAGGCUAAAUACUCCUGACUGACCGAUAGUGAACCAGUACCGUGAGGGAAAGGCGAAAAGAACCCCGGCGAGGGGAGUGAAAAAGAACCUGAAACCGUGUACGUACAAGCAGUGGGAGCACGCUUAGGCGUGUGACUGCGUACCUUUUGUAUAAUGGGUCAGCGACUUAUAUUCUGUAGCAAGGUUAACCGAAUAGGGGAGCCGAAGGGAAACCGAGUCUUAACUGGGCGUUAAGUUGCAGGGUAUAGACCCGAAACCCGGUGAUCUAGCCAUGGGCAGGUUGAAGGUUGGGUAACACUAACUGGAGGACCGAACCGACUAAUGUUGAAAAAUUAGCGGAUGACUUGUGGCUGGGGGUGAAAGGCCAAUCAAACCGGGAGAUAGCUGGUUCUCCCCGAAAGCUAUUUAGGUAGCGCCUCGUGAAUUCAUCUCCGGGGGUAGAGCACUGUUUCGGCAAGGGGGUCAUCCCGACUUACCAACCCGAUGCAAACUGCGAAUACCGGAGAAUGUUAUCACGGGAGACACACGGCGGGUGCUAACGUCCGUCGUGAAGAGGGAAACAACCCAGACCGCCAGCUAAGGUCCCAAAGUCAUGGUUAAGUGGGAAACGAUGUGGGAAGGCCCAGACAGCCAGGAUGUUGGCUUAGAAGCAGCCAUCAUUUAAAGAAAGCGUAAUAGCUCACUGGUCGAGUCGGCCUGCGCGGAAGAUGUAACGGGGCUAAACCAUGCACCGAAGCUGCGGCAGCGACGCUUAUGCGUUGUUGGGUAGGGGAGCGUUCUGUAAGCCUGCGAAGGUGUGCUGUGAGGCAUGCUGGAGGUAUCAGAAGUGCGAAUGCUGACAUAAGUAACGAUAAAGCGGGUGAAAAGCCCGCUCGCCGGAAGACCAAGGGUUCCUGUCCAACGUUUAAUCGGGGCAGGGUGAGUCGACCCCUAAGCGAGGCCGAAAGGCGUAGUCGAUGGGAAACAGGUUAAUAUUCCUGUACUUGGUGUUACUGCGAAG
rnacentral:rRNA from 1 species